ACGAACGCUGGCGGCGUGCUUAACACAUGCAAGUCGAACGGAAAGGCCCUGCUUGCAGGGUACUCGAGUGGCGAACGGGUGAGUAACACGUGGGUGAUCUGCCCUGCACUUCGGGAUAAGCCUGGGAAACUGGGUCUAAUACCGGAUAGGAGCCAUUUUUAGUGUGAUGGUUGGAAAGUUUUUUCGGUGUAGGAUGAGCUCGCGGCCUAUCAGCUUGUUGGUGGGGUAAUGGCCUACCAAGGCGGCGACGGGUAGCCGGCCUGAGAGGGUGGACGGCCACAUAGGGACUGAGAUACGGCCCAGACUCCUACGGGAGGCAGCAGUGGGGAAUAUUGCACAAUGGGCGCAAGCCUGAUGCAGCGACGCCGCGUGGGGGAUGACGGCCUUCGGGUUGUAAACUCCUUUCGCUAGGGACGAAGCUUUUUGUGACGGUACCUAGAGAAGAAGCACCGGCUAACUACGUG
rnacentral:rRNA from 1 species